rnacentral:rRNA from 1 species
UGCCAGACUCCUACGGGAGGCAGCAGUGAGGAAUAUUGGUCAAUGGGCGGAAGCCUGAACCAGCCAAGUCGCGUGAGGGAUUAAGGCCCUAUGGGUCGUAAACCUCUUUUGUCAGGGAGCAAUGGCGUCCACGUGUGGGCGUAUGGAGAGUACCUGAAGAAAAAGCAUCGGCUAACUCCGUGCCAGCAGCCGCGGUAAUACGGAGGAUGCGAGCGUUAUCCGGAUUUAUUGGGUUUAAAGGGUGCGUAGGUGGUUAAUUAAGUCAGCGGUGAAAGUUUGUGGCUCAACCAUAAAAUUGCCGUUGAAACUGGUUGACUUGAGUAUAUUUGAGGUAGGCGGAAUGCGUGGUGUAGCGGUGAAAUGCAUAGAUAUCACGCAGAACUCCGAUUGCGAAGGCAGCUUACUAAACUAUAACUGACACUGAAGCACGAAAGCGUGGGGAUCAAACAGGAUUAGAUACCCCGGUAA